CUUCGGCUUCUCAAAACCCAAAGUAACUUAUCGAUUUUCAUCUGCUUCGUUUUCUCACCUCUUAUACUCCAAUGAGUUUGAUACAAACAUUUUCCUUCUUAUACGUAUCGGUGUUUUAGAAUUAAUUUGGUAGUUCUUUUCUCUUUUUUCUCACUCGAUAUCAGAUAUAGCCUAAUCGCUCAUCCGUGUUGCUACGUUUGCCCACGACCUCCUGUAUUUGUGAUUUCCGUGUGGAUGUUUGGUGAAAAUAUGUUUCAUAUUAGGGCUUAUUCAAAUUUGGUGAAAAUUUGUUAGUAUUCAUGGAAUUCCAGUUUUGGACCUUUCAGGAUUAUCUGAUUCUAGACUUGGUAAAGUUGUAUUUAAUUAUUUUUGAACUUCUUGAUACUUGUGUUUAUAUUAAAGGGGAUCCUUUCCACUAUUUGGAUUUGAUUUAGUUUCACUGCUAAGCCAAAAUUAGGAUAUGGCUUUGACUUUAUAAACAUUAUAUAAAUGUACUUAUCUCUUUUUCCUUAAUGCAUGAAAUGUGGUUUGUAGCAGAUUCUUUUGAUACCGGUUUAAUUGCUACUGAGUUUUUCUUCCACACUAUGGGUGGAUGAGAAGGGAUUAUGGAUACAGAAACCUAGCAAAAGGGAUGAGUAAUGAUCAUAGUCUGGAAGCAAUUGUGUAAUGUAAUGCGUAUUAUUUACAUAUUAAAAUAGUUGAGCAGGUUAUUUACACGUAAUUGAUGAAUGCUAUAGGAUUUUAUCCAUAAGUAAAUUUAGUUACCUUUAUCUGUAGAAUGCUAAUAUGUGCAAUGACAUAUUAUGCAGAAUCCCUCGAUGCUGUUUGCCGAAGAGGGCAGACCAGAACCUGAAAAAAAACUCCAUAUGGAUGAAAGUGAAGGAAAUUACUCAACGAGUGACCAAAGAGAAGAUUAAAGUGAAAGAGUUGUAUCAGGUAGAAAAACGGGUAACCAUGGAUCACAGAAAAGAGGUUCGUUUCAUAUUUUUUUAUAUGUUUAAAACAUUAUAUUAUGUAUAUAUGUUGUCCGAUAUCAAUAAAUAGUUAUUGUAUUUUAAAAUAUUAGACUGCUAUGGGUGCAAAAGCCUAUAGUGUUGCAGUUGUCCUAUGCAUAGGUUUUCCUUCUACUACUAACAUUGUUUUUCUUUUUACAAGAAUUUGGGUAUUUUUUUUGUAUGAUGGAAUGGAAUUUUAAAGGAUUGGAAUGAACAAGGUAAUGGAAUUGGUUAUAACAUUCUGUUAUCAUGUGCAGUUGAAGUUGAUAAUUGUGUUGUUAAUGACAAGAAUGCUUUAGGUGUUCUUUAUGAAUCUAUCAUAGGAAAUGUAAUAACCAAUCAAGAUUCUGAUGUUGACUUAUCCAUACAUUCAAGUAGUCGCAAUAGUCUUGAAGGAAAUUGGGUAUCGGUUUCAAGUAAACAUUUCUUGAUUAGCCCUCUUUAUUUCCAUUUCCAAAUAAUGAUCUAAUUAUUGUUUCACUUUUUCAGAACAUAUUCAAAGUCCUCUCUACUGCUUCAAUUGAUGGUUUCCAAAUUCCAAUAUAUGAAACUGGAGAGAUCCAAUUGUUGGAUCACUGAUGCUUAAGCUUUCUUUUCGUAGGUUCUGGAUUUUUCUACUGUCAAAGGGAAGGAAAGUAUGGACAGACAUGUGUUAUCCCCUUUCAAAAAUUUUCAUUACUCGAUGGAUCUGCUCAAUACAAGUUAUAGGUUACACUUUUGUUUAAUAGAAUAUGCUUUCCAGACAAAAUAAUUUGUCUCGGUUGCAUAAAUUGGUCAAUAUAUAGAUGAUUUUUUCCGCAUGAAUAGAAUGUUCUUUCUAGUUUCUACAUUUGCUGUAUAUUACAUUGUGAUUUUAUU